AUUAGGGUGGCAGAACCAGGUUAUGCAAGAAGCCUAAGAUUUCCAUAUAGAGAUUCGAAUCCUCUCCCUAAUA
rnacentral:tRNA from 1 species